UGGGGAAUAUUGGACAAUGGGCGCAAGCCUGAUCCAGCCAUGCCGCGUUAGUGAUGAAGGCCCUAGGGUUGUAAAGCUCUUUCACCGGUGAAGAUAAUGACGGUAACCGGCGAAGAAGCCCCGGCUAACUUCGUGCCAUCAGCCGCGGUAUACGAAGGGGGCUAGCGUUGUUCGGAUUUACUGGGCGUAAAGCGCACGUAGGCGGACUAUUAAGUCAGGGGUGAAAUCCCGGGGCUCAACCCCGGAACUGCCUUUGAUACUGGUAGUCUUAAGUUCGAGAGAGGUGAGUGGAAUUCCGGGUGUAGAGGUGAAAUUCGGAGAUAUUCAGAGAAACACCAGUGGGGAAGGCGGCUAACUGGCUCGAUACUGACGCUGGGGUGCGAAAGCGUGGGGAGCAAACAGG
rnacentral:rRNA from 1 species